rnacentral:rRNA from 1 species
GAUGAACGCUAGCUACAGGCUUAACACAUGCAAGUCGAGGGGAAACGGCAUCGAAAGCUUGCUUUUGAUGGGCGUCGACCGGCGCACGGGUGAGUAACGCGUAUCCAACCUGCCCACCACUUGGGGAUAACCUUGCGAAAGUAAGACUAAUACCCAAUGACGUCUCUAGAAGACAUGUGAAAGAGAUUAAAGAUUUAUCGGUGAUGGAUGGGGAUGCGUCUGAUUAGCCUGUUGGCGGGGUAACGGCCCACCAAGGCGACGAUCAGUAGGGGUUCUGAGAGGAAGGUCCCCCACAUUGGAACUGAGACACGGUCCAAACUCCUACUGGAGGCAGCAGUGAGGAAUAUUGGUCAACGGGCGAGAGCCUGAACCAGCCAAGUAGCGUGCAGGAUGACGGCCCUAUGGGUUGUAAACUGCUUUUAUAAGGGAAUAAAGUGAGCCUCGUGAGGCUUUUUGCAUGUACCUUAUGAAUAAGGACCGACUAAUUCCGUGCCAGCCGCCGCCGUAA